AAAAGAUGGUAUGCGCUGAAAAUGAGUGACACUUUAUGAAAUGCUGCUAAAUAUAUAUAUAUAUAUUUUUUCUCCAUAACGUUUCUUGGGCAAGGUAUUUGAUCGAUCAUUAGCAAUUAGUGGAGGAGAAAAGCAAUUAGAAAAGGGCAAAUUAUAUAAUGCUCUCUGUGCCUAUGCACCAUCACUCAUACAGGACUGAGUUUCAGAAAACUACUUUGUUGAGUGAUCAGUGUAUUGUUUUUUAAUGCAUCAAGUAUAUUUAAUUUAAACAAAGUGAGAAAGGAAGUCCAAAAUGCUGCCAAUUUGAGGACUAUAUGUAAUGACAUUCCUUUUGCGAACCUCAUUGAUAUAUAGAAGUUCUAAUUUGGUUCUAUUAUGUAAAUCACUUCAGCAUAGGGCUGUCUUGUGAUGCUAGUAAAAAGAGAUUUUAGUUUCAAAAUGAUUAAACCAAA
rnacentral:misc_RNA from 1 species